AGCUAUUGUGAAGUUCCAUGGGUGGAUAAUUUCUUGUAUAUCAUCAUCAUACUUCUGAUUUUCCUCUUUUCUCCUUUACUGAUUCCUUCUAAUUGUUGAAGUACCUCUUCUUUUUGCUCCAUUAAAUUAUCAAAAGUGCAAUUGUUUGACAUGACUUUAGGUCUAUUUCCUGUUAUAAUAGAAUGUAGCCUGUGUUGUGACUAUUCUGUAGUUGAUCCUUCAUUGAUGUCUUCUUGAAAUGGACUUGUAUCUGCUCAUGAAUUAUAAAAUAAUUAUUCAUCAACAAAAAGACCCCAUGAAUGUUCUGCCAAAAGCUAUCAGAUCAAGCAUUGCACAUUACCUGUUUUUACCAAUAGUUCAAAAUGUUAGUCUGUUCAGAGGCGUUUCCAGGGAUCUGCUUUUCCAACUGGUUCCUGAAAUGGACGUUGAAUACUAUCCUUCCAAGGAAGAUGUGAUUUUACAGAAUGAGUCUCAAACAGAUUUUUACAUAAUAGUCUCAGGAGCAUUGGAUAUUCUAGUAGAUAGCGAUGGACGUGAACAAAUCAUUGGGAAGGCUGUUGCUCGAGAAUCAUUUGGAGAAAUAAGUGUUUUACUUGGAAGGCCACAACCAUAUGUUGUUACAACAACUGAAAUUUCUAAAAUUUUAUGUCCGAGUAGGAAAACAUUUCUGAACAUUCUUCACGACAAUCAAGAAGAUGAACAGAUUAUAAUGAGAAAUCAUUUUCAGGAUUUGGAGGCUUUGAUAAUGUGGACGAGGAAAGCGAUCCAUGUUUAGUCUUCAACAACUGUUCUCAUGUUUCUAAGCAAGAUACGCCAACAAAUCCUAGCAAUCUGAUUAGUAUAAAUAUACAAACAUUAGAAGCUAGAACCAAUAAACAAGUUGAAAAUGAAAGUGAAAGUGGUGGACGUGAACACUAUAUAGUUCUUGAUCAUUCUGUAGUUUCCAAUGGGCAUAUUGAAAUGGCUCCGAGUCUAGUAGAAAAAAGGUGGAAAGAAGAUCAACUCUACACAGAACAUGGAGGAAACAAAAGCAUCCAUAAGGUCCCAUGCUAUUCUUAUUCAGGAGCAGAAUGUGAAGCUAAUAAUAUUACCUGAUACACUAGAAGAGCUAUUCAUACUAGUCACAACAAGGAGAACUGACAACGAUAGCUGAUCUUGCAGGUCCUGCUUAUAAGCUUGAGUUUCGGACAAUUGGCAAGAGAUUGAACUUGAGUGAAAAGCAGAGUCGAAGUGGAAUUUGGGGACUCGAAGAAAAUCACCUCAGUUUGCUUCCACAAAAUAGGUCUGCAUUAUCUCUUUUUUCCCUUGAAAUUCAAGCGUCUUCAUGCUUCUGUAAAGAAUAUGAAAAUUUCUUAGUUGUCAUUCAUGUGUGAUUGAGAGUAAGAGGAUUCACUUACUCAAAAACAUAUUAAUGUCAAUUUUGAUCAAAUCGUCAUUGUUUUUCAUUUAGCAAUAUGUGAUCAACAUCUUUGUUUAAACUGAUUAGUUUUAAGGAAAUUAUGGUUUAUACACUUCCCUUUUAUCCUUUUGUGGUUCAGUUUAUGUUACACACUUGGAGGUCAUGCUUUGAGACACAAUGAUCUGCUUCUGCUACUCAUUUUAUCUAGAAAAGAUUUAAGGUCUUAGGAUGAGUUUAUGGUGAGUUCUUGAGCUUUACAAUUUUAGAGUUCUAUCCACAAGACAUAAAUUUUUUAAAUGAUAUUCACCAUUUGAUAAAUAUGAGACUGUUUGUUUAUUUUUAAGCCUAAAACAUGCUUGAUUUCAAUGAAUCUCUUUGUCUUUUAUAUUUAGAACUUCGUACUUAGAAAAGUCAUUUAUUUACUUCAAAAGGCAACAUAUGCCUAUUUUUA